GGCCUCUAGCCUAUCCAAGUAUUAGAGGUCCCGCCUGCCCAGUGAACAUCUUUCAACGGCCGCGGUAUCCUAACCGUGCGAAGGUAGCAUAAUCCUUUGUUCCUUAAAUGCGGACUAGUAUGAACGGCUGACUGAGGGCAUAACUGUCUCCUAUGGCCAACCAAUGAAACUGAUCCCCCAGUACAAAAGCUGGGAUAACCCCAUAAGACGAGAAGACCCUACGGAGCUUUAAACCACCCCACUACAUCACCAAACACUACCCAACCAGGGUAGUCCCACAACACCCUAAUAGUGGCCGUUUUGAGUUGGGGCGACUGUAGCACACAAAAAAACUCUUACGACACAGGACUAACCCCCCAUUCUAGGCCAACAAGCCAAAAAUAUCGCGCUAACUGACCCAGUACCACUGAGCAACGAACCAAGUUACCCUAGGGAUAACAGCGCCAUCCUCUUUAAGAGCCCAUAUCGCCAAGAGGGUUUACGACCUCGAUGUUGGAUCAGGACACCCCGGUGGCGCAGCCGCUGCCAAAGGUUCGUUUGUUCAACGACUAAUGUCCU
rnacentral:rRNA from 1 species